rnacentral:rRNA from 1 species
AGAGUUUGAUCCUGGCUCAGGAUGAACGCUAGCGACAGGCUUAACACAUGCAAGUCGAGGGGCAGCACAGGUAGCAAUACCGGGUGGCGACCGGCGCACGGGUGAGUAACGCGUAUGCAACUUGCCUAUCAGAGGGGGAUAACCCGGCGAAAGUCGGACUAAUACCGCAUGAAGCAGGGAUCCCGCAUGGGAAUAUUUGCUAAAGAUUCAUCGCUGAUAGAUAGGCAUGCGUUCCAUUAGGCAGUUGGCGGGGUAACGGCCCACCAAACCGACGAUGGAUAGGGGUUCUGAGAGGAAGGUCCCCCACAUUGGUACUGAGACACGGACCAAACUCCUACGGGAGGCAGCAGUGAGGAAUAUUGGUCAAUGGGCGCGAGCCUGAACCAGCCAAGUCGCGUGAGGGAUGAAGGUUCUAUGGAUCGUAAACCUCUUUUAUAAGGGAAUAAAGUGCGGGACGUGUCCCGUUUUGUAUGUACCUUAUGAAUAAGGAUCGGCUAACUCCGUGCCAGCAGCCGCGGUAAUACGGAGGAUCCGAGCGUUAUCCGGAUUUAUUGGGUUUAAAGGGUGCGUAGGCGGCCUUUUAAGUCAGCGGUGAAAGUCUGUGGCUCAACCAUAGAAUUGCCGUUGAAACUGGGGGGCUUGAGUAUGUUUGAGGCAGGCGGAAUGCGUGGUGUAGCGGUGAAAUGCAUAGAUAUCACGCAGAACCCCGAUUGCGAAGGCAGCCUGCCAAGCCAUUACUGACGCUGAUGCACGAAAGCGUGGGGAUCAAACAGGAUUAGAUACCCUGGUAGUCCACGCAGUAAACGAUGAUCACUAGCUGUUUGCGAUACACUGUAAGCGGCACAGCGAAAGCGUUAAGUGAUCCACCUGGGGAGUACGCCGGCAACGGUGAAACUCAAAGGAAUUGACGGGGGCCCGCACAAGCGGAGGAACAUGUGGUUUAAUUCGAUGAUACGCGAGGAACCUUACCCGGGCUUAAAUUGCAGAUGAAUUACGGUGAAAGCCGUAAGCCGCAAGGCAUCUGUGAAGGUGCUGCAUGGUUGUCGUCAGCUCGUGCCGUGAGGUGUCGGCUUAAGUGCCAUAACGAGCGCAACCCUUGCCACUAGUUACUAACAGGUAAAGCUGAGGACUCUGGUGGGACUGCCAGCGUAAGCUGCGAGGAAGGCGGGGAUGACGUCAAAUCAGCACGGCCCUUACAUCCGGGGCGACACACGUGUUACAAUGGCGUGGACAAAGGGAAGCCACCUGGCGACAGGGAGCGAAUCCCCAAACCACGUCUCAGUUCGGAUCGGAGUCUGCAACCCGACUCCGUGAAGCUGGAUUCGCUAGUAAUCGCGCAUCAGCCAUGGCGCGGUGAAUACGUUCCCGGGCCUUGUACACACCGCCCGUCAAGCCAUGGGAGCCGGGGGUACCUGAAGUGCGUAACCGCGAGGAGCGCCCUAGGGUAAAACUGGUGACUGGGGCUAAGUCGUAACAAGGUAGCCGUACCGGAAGGUGCGGCUG